ACGCCGUCGGAAGUCCCGACUGACAAAGUAAUUACAAGAUGGCGGCUGAGACGACUGGAAAUCGCGAAGAAUCUACAAGACUUAGUUUUACAAUAAUUACGCUCUUCAUUUCUGCGGAAUUUUCCAAGUAUUGAAGGAUCCAAUGACCUGAGACAGCAGCCGCCGCUCAGUUUGGACAUUUAAGUUGGUUGAUGGAAUCCCAAGAGCCAGGCAACGGACAGGCACGAGGUCAACUUGCAAAACUGUGUAAAAGAUUUUACAAAUUUGUCUCACCAAUAAUUCCAGUGAUCAGAUGACUGGAUGGGGAUCAGGAUGAGGUUUAUACUACUGAAGUCCACGCCACCCCCAAUGACACACAAAGACUUCUCAGCCACCAAUACAUCCUUUCUAGGCGUGCCCGUUUCCAAGCUAGAAAAUGUGACAUCACGUUUUUAUCCCACCGUGGUAGUUUUGUUUUGAAAACGUACCGAAUCAGUCCACCAUCCCGUGACAAAUCGUGGGACCCCCGCCUUUAUCCGCGCUAUGUCCGCCGCAGACACUUCCCUUGGGUCGAGAAGGGUAAACAAGCAUGCAGGGGUGACUCGGAAGACGGGAUAUUCCAGCUGGGUGGCGCAAGGUGAAAGCUUGUUCGUGUGCACCGCGUAACGAAUCCUUGCAACAGGAUCCAGUUUGGCUUGGCCUUAAGUUGAACUACAACAAGGGGAACGUUUGCACAAUGAAUGAGAGUAAUCAGCAGUGGAGCUUGAUACACACGUUUUCUCGCAGUUAGGCUAGGUCCAAACUUAAUUGACCCCUACUAAAUGAAAUGGCGCUAAUAGAUAAUAUUCUAGUUAAACGUUUUGAUGUGUGAUCUAAGAACGGUAAAUGAUGAACGUUCUACCGCUGAUCAUACACUUCUAGAAGUACCUCUCAAAAUGGGUAGCAUCUAGAGUCCUAUACGGAAUCGAAGCUGACGUCACUGCUGCAUCAUCGUUGCUCUCGUCUGAUCUAGAACUGAAUUCUACCACCAAGUCAUCCACUGCACGUAGGUAUCAUAUGCAAAAAAAGCAUAUUAUUUGAAGAUUCCUUCAUCGGCAAAGACGUGUUCCUGGCAGUUGCCACCUUUUAUGGACCUUAUUCGCAUAUCUUCAAGUGGAACGGGGAGAAUUUCACGAGGUACCAGAGUAUUGUGGCGGCAGGGUCCGACCUGGAGGCCUUUACUAUAGAUGGCGGGGUUUUCCUAGUGAUUACUGGCACGUGAUUGGGUGAGCAUUACCUCGCCAUAUAUGGGCAAAGAGAAGACGUACCUUGCCAUCAUCAACAGUGGCCUCGAUCCCGUGAUCUACGCCUGGGACAAGUAUCACUCUAGAAAGUUCGCCAAGGUCCAGUCCAUCUCUUCCGCACGGACACGUGACAUGACGUUCUUCAUUAUGGGAGAGAGGGUCUACCUCGCGGUCGCCUCACACCGGAGCACUGGGAUCUACCAAGGCUCGUGAACGCGUGACCUCGCGUGAAACGACCACGCAAUACAUGUGAAAAGAUGUAACGCUAGCGGCGCAUUUGCUCUGUUAGAGCGGAGAUUGAUUGAAAUGUAGCGUUAGACAUUCAACUACCAAGGCUCGUGAUUGCGUGACGUGCGGGUUUGAGCGGGUUUUUUGUCACGAGGACUUCGCCUUCUUUUUCAGACACCACUUUUUCUAUAUAUGGUGAUCACGCAAUCUAAACGUCAAGCAACACAUCAGAUUAAAUAUCAGGAUCUAUACAACAAUCCUCUUGUUUGUAUUAGUAAAUAUAUGUAACGGCUGUAAAUACACGUUUUGUAUCGCUAA